rnacentral:rRNA from 1 species
ANUGCAAUGGGCGAAGCCUGAUGCAGCAACGCCGCGUGGGGGAUGAAGCUUCUCGGAGUGUAAACCCCUUUCGACCCGGACGAAUGUCCGCAAGGACUUGACGGUACGGGUAUAAGAAGCCCCGGCUAACUACGUGCCAGCAGCCGCGGUAAAACGUAGGGGGCCAGCGUUGCUCGGAAUUACUGGGCGUAAAGGGUCCGUAGGCGGUGCGGCAAGUCGGAAGUGAAAUCUCUGGGCUUAACUCAGAGGCUGCUUCCGAAACUGCCGUGCUCGAGUGCGAGAGAGGCGAGUGGAAUUGCGGGUGUAGCGGUGAAAUGCGUAGAUAUCCGCAGGAACAUCCGAGGCGAAAGCGGCUCGCUGGAUCGCAACUGACGCUGAGGGACGAAAGCUAGGGGAGCAAACAGGAUUAGAUACCCUGGUAGUCCUAGCCCUAAACCAUCAGGACUUGGGGUUUGCCCUGUACGGGGCAAGUCCCGUAGCUAACGCGUUAAGUCCUGCGCCUGGGGAGUACGGUCGCAAGGCUGAAACUCAAAAAAAUUGACGGA